UGAAUGCGGCAUGGUAGGUGACUUAGUUGGCUUAAAAAGGUUAAGUGUAGGAAUUUUAAGGAGGAUUUUUUUGUUUUGAAUGUCGUUUGGUUGGAGAAUCAAUCACUUGAAAAUGGUUGUGUAGGAAGUUUAAAAAGGAUAUUUUUCUUUUGAAUAUAGCUUGGUAGGUGACUUAGUUGGUUGGAAACGGGUAAGUUUAGGGACAUUAAAGGAGAUUAUUUUGUUUUGAAUGUAGUUUG
rnacentral:lncRNA from 1 species